rnacentral:rRNA from 1 species
UACGAAGGGGGCAUAGCGUUGCUCGGAAUCAGCUAGGGCGUAAGCGCAGCGUAGGCGGAUUGCUAAGUCAGGGGUGAAAUCCUGGAGCUCAACUCCAGAACUGCCUUUGAUACUUGGACGAUGCUUGAGGUCCGGGAAGACGGUGAGUGGAACGUGCGAAGUUGUAGAGGUGAAAGUUCGAUAGAUAUUCGCGAAGAACACCAGGUGGCGAAGGCGGACUCACUGGUC